CCAGCCUUGCCAUCACGGGAAGCGGCUUGCCUCUGCCACCUGGUUUCCUUGGGGAACUUUAUCCCGCGUUUGCUCGUCCUUCUCCUUGCCCAGCCAGGCGACAGCCUGCCAAGAGCCUCACGGACCUAGAGCCACGCCGGGGCCGGCACAAAGCACAGCUCAGUUAUUCACCGAGCGGUGGCUGGGGGAAGGUUGACGAGGAGGGGUCGUGCCUAGAGGCAGGGAGAAGGAUGCGGGGGCAAUGGGGGCAGAGCGUAAACGGACCAAGGGCCCCGCACCUGAGCGAGGGAGGGUAGUCCCCGCUCUGCCUCCUCCUCCCCAGCGGGUCAGGUGCUGCCUACCGACCGGCGCCUGGCCCUCCAGCGCGCCGGGGCUCCCCGCCCCAGGGAAAGGGACCGGCCACUGAGCUGCUCUCAGCGGGGAGCGGCGGCGGAGGGGAAACGAGGCGGCUCAGCGAGCACGGAUUAUAUGUAAAUGUUGUGGACAGAGCGCCUUUCCCCGAUUCUACCAUCUGAAUGGGCAAAAUUUGCUAGUAACACAGAAGUAAGCUGCACUCCCCUGGUGUCUGAGAAGCUGCAUAAUAAAAUACAGAGACUUUGAUUCCACUGGAUUUUUGCUGCAGCUUGGGUACAAGAAGCGAUAAAACCUGAGAGAAAAUAAACAGAAAAUGCCUUAAAUUCAAACUGAAUUCCUUUAACAGCCCCGUUUCCCCACUGAUUGUCGCAAGACUAAAACUGGUCUAGACCUUCCUACCUGGAAUUGCUUAGUGUACAGUAACAAUUGUUCUUCCUAAUGGAUUUUAACACGUGAUGGAAAGAAUUUUUCUUCCCUUUUAUCUCGCCUCCUUUGAUGGGAAAAUUACCCCCCUACUGUGAGUUACAACAGGGCGGUUAACCAUUACAGAAAGCAAUUUCAGGGUGAGGGAAGUCAAAUAUGCUGCUGUUACUGGUUAACAGUUAAAUUUCUCUACUUGCUGCUGGUUUUCUUCUAUCUAAUAAAGGGGAGAACCAACCAUUUACCAUCCUCAAAUUAAUACUGUUUAACAUUGAUCUGUUGCAACCUGAAAUGAAAAAAUACAUUAAAAAUAUGCUUAUGUUUAAAAACCAAAAA